rnacentral:rRNA from 1 species
GACGAACGCUGGCGGCGUGCUUAACACAUGCAAGUCGAACGGAAAGGCCCUGCUUGCAGGGUACUCGAGUGGCGAACGGGUGAGUAACACGUGGGUGAUCUGCCCUGCACUUCGGGAUAAGCUUGGGAAACUGGGUCUAAUACCGGAUAGGAGCCAUCUUUAGUGUGGUGGUUGGAAAGUUUUUUCGGUGUAGGAUGAGCUCGCGGCCUAUCAGCUUGUUGGUGGGGUAAUGGCCUACCAAGGCGGCGACGGGUAGCCGGCCUGAGAGGGUGUACGGCCACAUUGGGACUGAGAUACGGCCCAGACUCCUACGGGAGGCAGCAGUGGGGAAUAUUGAACAAUGGGCGCAAGCCUGAUGCAGCGACGCCGCGUGGGGGAUGAAGGCCUUCGGGUUGUAAACGCCUUUCGCUAGGGACGAAGCUCUUUGUGACGGUACCUAGAUAAGAAGCACCGGCUAACUACGUG